GCCUCCGUGGCGCAAUUGGAUAGCGCGUUGGACUUCUAAUCCAAAGGUUGUGGGUUCGAAUCCCGCCGGUGGUAC
rnacentral:tRNA from 1 species